rnacentral:miRNA from 1 species
GAGUAUUUGACAGACUGUGG